rnacentral:rRNA from 1 species
GACGAACGCUGGCGGCGUGCCUAAUACAUGCAAGUCGAGCGGACGAAUCGAAAGCUUGCUUUUGAUUCGUUAGCGGCGGACGGGUGAGUAACACGUGGGCAACCUGCCCUGUAGACGGGGAUAACACCGAGAAAUCGGUGCUAAUACCGGAUAACACGAAAUGUCGCAUGACGUUUCGUUGAAAGACGGCGCAAGCUGUCGCUACAGGAUGGGCCCGCGGCGCAUUAGCUAGUUGGUGGGGUAACGGCUCACCAAGGCGACGAUGCGUAGCCGACCGGAGAGGGUGAUCGGCCACACUGGGACUGAGACACGGCCCAGACGCCUACGGGAGGCAGCAGUAGGGAAUCUUCCGCAAUGGACGAAAGUCUGACGGAGCAACGCCGCGUGAGCGAAGAAGGCCUUCGGGUCGUAAAGCUCUGUUGUUAGGGAAGAACAAGUAACGCAGUAACUGGCGUUACCGUGACGGUACCUAACGAGAAAGCCACGGCUAACUACGUG